rnacentral:rRNA from 1 species
CGGGCGGGGGGCUAUACAUGCAAGUAGAACGCUGAGGAUUGGUGCUUGCACUAAUCCAAAGAGUUGCGAAGGGGUGAGUAACGCGUAGGUAACCUACCUCAUAGCGGGGGAUAACUAUUGGAAACGAUAGCUAAUACCGCAUGACACUAGAGUACACAUGUACUUAAUUUAAAAGGAGCAAUUGCUUCACUAUGAGAUGGACCUGCGUUGUAUUAGCUAGUUGGUGAGGUAACGGCUCACCAAGGCGACGAUACAUAGCCGACCUGAGAGGGUGAUCGGCCACACUGGGACUGAGACACGGCCCAGACUCCUACGGGAGGCAGCAGUAGGGAAUCUUCGGCAAUGGACGGAAGUCUGACCGAGCAACGCCGCGUGAGUGAAGAAGGUUUUCGGAUCGUAAAGCUCUGUUGUUAGAGAAGAACGGUAAUGGGAGUGGAAAAUCCAUUACGUGACGGUAACUAACCAGAAAGGGACGGCUAACUACGUGCCAGCAGCCGCGGUAAUACGUAGGUCUCGAGCGUUGUCCGGAUUUAUUGGGCGUAAAGCGAGCGCAGGCGGUUCUAUAAGUCUGAAGUAAAAGGCAGUGGCUCAACCAUUGUAUGCUUUGGAAACUGUAGAACUUGAGUGCAGAAGGGGAGAGUGGAAUUCCAUGUGUAGCGGUGAAAUGCGUAUAUAUAUGGAGGAACACCGGUGGCGAAAGCGGCUCUCUGGUCUGUAACUGACGCUGAGGCUCGAAAGCGUGGGGAGCAAACAGGAUUAGAUACCCUGGUAGUCCACGCCGUAAACGAUGAGUGCUAGGUGUUAGGCCCUUUCCGGGGGCUUAGUGCCGCAGCUAACGCAUUAAGCACUCCGCCUGGGAGAGUACGAGCGCAAGGGUUGACAUCUCAAAGGAAUUGACGGGGGCCCGCACAAGCGGUGGAGCAUGUGGUUUUAAUUUCGAAAGCAACGCGAAGAACCUUUACCAGGUCUUGACAUCCCUCUGACCCGUUCUAGAGAUAGGAUUUUUUCCUUUCGAGACAGAGAGACAGGUUGUGCAUGGUUUGUCGUCAGCUCGUGUCGUGAGAUUGUUGGUAUAAGUCCGCACGAAGCGCAACCCCCUAUUGGUUAGGUUGCCAUUCAUUAGUUGGGCACUCUAGCGAACUGGCCGGUAAUAACCGGAAGAAUGUUGGAGAUUGAACGGUUACGAU